CACGUUUGACAUGUCUAGUUUGGUCGGCAGAGAUGCCUUCCUUCAGUUCGGCUGGCUAGAACACAGGUGCUGCAUGGCUGUCGUCAGCUCGUGUCGUGAGAUGUUGGGUUAAGUCCCGCAACGAGCGCAACCCUCGCUACUAGUUGCUACCAGGUUAAGCUGAGCACUCUAGUGGAACUGCCGGUGGCAAGCCGGAGGAAGGUGGGGAUGACGUCAAGUCCUCAUCGG
rnacentral:rRNA from 1 species